rnacentral:rRNA from 1 species
UACAGAGGUGGCAAGCGUUGUUCGGAAUUACUGGGCGUAAAGGGCGCGUAGGCGGCCAUCUAAGUCAGACGUGAAAUCCCCCGGCUUAACCUGGGAACUGCGUCUGAUACUGGACGGCUUGAGUAUGGGAGAGGGAUGUAGAAUUCCUGGUGUAGCGGUGAAAUGCGCAGAUAUCAGGAGGAACACCGGUGGCGAAGGCGGGUCUCUGGGCCGAUACUGACGCUGAGGAGCGAAAGCGUGGGGAGCGAACAGG